GAUGAACGCUGGCGGCGUGCCUAAUACAUGCAAGUCGAGCGAACAGACGAGGCGCUUGCUCCUCUGACGUUAGCGGCGGACGGGUGAGUAACACGUGGAUAACCUCCCUAUAAGACUGGGAUAACUUCGGGAAACCGGAGCUAAUACCGGAUAAUAUAUUGAACCGCAUGGUUCAAUAGUGAAAGACGGUUUUGCUGUCACUUAUAGAUGGAUCCGCGCCGCAUUAGCUAGUUGGUAAGGUAACGGCUUACCAAGGCGACGAUGCGUAGCCGACCUGAGAGGGUGAUCGGCCACACUGGAACUGAGCCACGGUCCAGACUCCUACGGGAGGCAGCAGUAGGGAAUCUUCCGCAAUGGGCGAAAGCCUGACGGAGCGACGCCGCGUGAGUGAUGAAGGUCUUCGGAUCGUAAAACUCUGUUAUUAGGGAAGAACAAAUGUGUAAGUAACUAUGCACGUCUUGACGGUACCUAAUCAGAAAGCCACGGCUAACUACGUG
rnacentral:rRNA from 1 species